rnacentral:rRNA from 1 species
UACGAAGGGGGCUAGCGUUGCUCGGAAUUACUGGGCGUAAAGGGCGCGUAGGCGGACAGCUAAGUCAGAGGUGAAAUCCCAGGGCUCAACCCUGGAAUUGCCUUUGAUACUGGCUGUCUUGAGUAUGGGAGAGGUAAGCGGAACUCCGAGUGUAGAGGUGAAAUUCGUAGAUAUUCGGAAGAACACCAGUGGCGAAGGCGGCUUACUGGCCCAUUACUGACGCUGAGGCGCGAAAGCGUGGGGAGCAAACAGG